GGCAACGUCCAUACCACGUUGAAUACACCGGUUCUCGUCCGAUCACCGAAGUUAAGCAACGUCGGGCGCGGUCAGUACUUGGAUGGGUGACCGCCUGGGAACACCGCGUGACGUUGGCU
rnacentral:rRNA from 1 species